GAAAAACAAUACGAACAGCAGCAGCAGAGGGAGCCGGCAAGUGGAGGCGAUUCCUAAACACGCUACAGCACGAGGUGUACACGCGCUCUAAAAUCCUCCUUGGGAUUAUACUAAUACAAAUUUUAAAGAAGAACACAGACAGAGCAAUCAGGAAAACUGCAAUGGUACAACAGUUCCAGACAGAUCUGCUAGACAUUUCCAUCACUUUCUAAGGCUCAUGCAUUGCACUUGUGAUUCGAGUUUCGAGUAAGGUGAUACGGUGAGCUCAUUUUCGAAUACCCUUUUACGCCAUUCUCUCGAGAAAGAUCGUUUACAUAGCACUGAAAAGAAAAUUAGUCUCAGGGAAAACAUAUUUUAGUGUUUUUCGAAAGAACACUCAUGAUUCAAUGGUACAAUGGAGAUGGACAUUUAAUCAAAGCAAACUGCUAAUGCUAACUUCAAAGCAAUGAUGAAGACUUUCCUUUC